GGCGCCAUCGUCUAGCGGCCUAGGACAACAGAUUCUCAAUCUGUAAAUCGAGGGUUCAAAUCCCUCUGGCGUCA
rfam:Microgenomates bacterium GW2011_GWC1_41_8 TT81_C0006, whole genome shotgun sequence.